UCGGGAAUUUUGCACAAUGGCCGAAAGGCUGAUGCAGCAACGCCGCGUGAGCGAAGAAGGCCUUCGGGUUGUAAAGCUCUGUUGCCUGCGAAGAAGGGCCCUGUCAGGAAAUGGGCGGGGUUUGACGGUAGCAGGCGAGGAAGCCCCGGCAAACUACGUGCCAGCAGCCGCGGUAAUACGUAGGGGGCGAGCGUUGUCCGGAAUUACUGGGCGUAAAGGGCGUGUAGGCGGCCUGUUAAGUCAGGGGUGAAAGACCGGGGCUCAACCCCGGGGGUGCCUCUGAAACUGGCGGGCUUGAGUGCUCUAGAGGGCAGUGGAAUUCCCGGUGUAGCGGUGAAAUGCGUAGAGAUCGGGAGGAACACCAGUGGCGAAGGCGGCUGACUGGGGAGUCACUGACGCUGAGGCGCGAAAGCUAGGGGAGCAAACAGG
rnacentral:rRNA from 1 species